GAUGAACGCUAGCGGGAGGCCUAACACAUGCAAGCCGAGCGGUAGAGUUUCUUCGGAAACUUGAGAGCGGCGCACGGGUGCGUAACACGUGUGCAACCUACCUUUAUCUGGGGGAUAGCCUUUCGAAAGGAAGAUUAAUACCCCAUAAUAUAAUGAUUGUCAUCAAUUAUUAUUGAAAACUCCGGUGGUUAGAGAUGGGCACGCGCAAGAUUAGAUAGUUGGUGAGGUAACGGCUCACCAAGUCAAUGAUCUUUAGGGGUCCUGAGAGGGAGAUCCCCCACACUGGUACUGGGACACGGACCAGACUCCUACGGGAGGCAGCAGUGAGGAAUAUUGGACAACGGGUGAGAGCCUGAUCCAGCCAUCCCGCGUGAAGGAUGACGGCCCUAUGGAUUGUAAACUUCUUUUGUACAGGGAUAAACCUACCCUCGUGAGGGUAGCUGAAGGUACUGUACGAAUAAGCACCGGCUAACUCCGUG
rnacentral:rRNA from 1 species